GACGAACGCUGGCGGCGUGCCUAAUACAUGCAAGUUGAGCGCUGAAGGUUGGUACUUGUACCAACUGGAUGAGCAGCGAACGGGUGAGUAACGCGUGGGGAAUCUGCCUUUGAGCGGGGGACAACAUUUGGAAACGAAUGCUAAUACCGCAUAAAAACUUUAAACACAAGUUUUAAGUUUGAAAGAUGCAAUUGCAUCACUCAAAGAUGAUCCCGCGUUGUAUUAGCUAGUUGGUGAGGUAAAGGCUCACCAAGGCGAUGAUACAUAGCCGACCUGAGAGGGUGAUCGGCCACAUUGGGACUGAGACACGGCCCAAACUCCUACGGGAGGCAGCAGUAGGGAAUCUUCGGAAAUGGACGAAAGUCUGACCGAGCAACGCCGCGUGAGUGAAGAAGGUUUUCGGAUCGUAAAACUCUGUUGGUAGAGAAGAAAGUUGGUGAGAGUGGAAAGCUCAUCAAGUGACGGUAACUACACAGAAAGGGACGGCUAACUACGUG
rnacentral:rRNA from 1 species